rnacentral:rRNA from 1 species
ACGGGAGGCAGCAGUGGGGAAUAUUGCACAAUGGGGGAAACCCUGAUGCAGCGACGCCGCGUGAGUGAAGAAGUUAUUCGUAAUGUAAAGCUCUAUCAGCAGGGAAGAUGAUGACGGUACCUGACUAAGAAGCCCCGGCUAACUACGUGCCAGCAGCCGCGGUAGUACGUAGGGGGCAAGCGUUAUCCGGAUUUACUGGGUGUAAAGGGAGCGCAGACGGCAUAGCAAGUCUGAAGUGAAAGCCCCGGGCUCAACCCGGGAACUGCUUUGGAAACUGUUAAGCUAGAGUGUCGGAGAGGUAAGUGGAAUUCCUAGUGUAGCGGUGAAAUGCGUAGAUAUUAGGAGGAACACCAGUGGCGAAGGCGGCUUACUGGACGAUAACUGACGUUGAGGCUCGAAAGCGUGGGGAGCAAACAGGAUUAGAUACCCUGGUA